rnacentral:rRNA from 1 species
AGGACGAACGCUGGCGGCGCGCUUAACACAUGCAAGUCGAACGGGUGUCCUUCGGGGCAUCAGUGGCGGACGGGUGCGUAACACGUAAGCGACCUGCCUUCAGGUGGGGGAUAACCCCGGGAAACCGGGGCUAAUACCGCAUGUGCUCUUGGGGCUGCAUGGCUUUGAGAGGAAAGCUCCCUUAAAGGAGCGCUUGAAGAGGGGCUUGCGGCGUAUCAGCUAGUUGGCGAGGUAACGGCUCACCAAGGCAAUGACGCGUAGGGGGUCUGAGAGGACGGCCCCCCACAUUGGGACUGAGAUACGGCCCAGACUCCUACGGGAGGCAGCAGUGGGAAUCUUGCGCAAUGGCCGAAAGGCUGACGCAGCGACGCCGACGUGCGGAGGAAGGCCUUCGGGUCGUAAACCGCUGUCGGAGGAAGAAGCGACCGGGGGAAUCCCGUGGUCUGACGGUACCUCCAAAGGAAGCACCGGCUAACUCCGUGUCAGCAGCCGC